ACAGCACAGAUGGUAGAGCAUGAGACUCUCAAUCUUGGGGUCAUGGGUUUGAGCCCCAUGUUAAGUA